GGCCCGCACAAGCAGCGGAGCGUGUGGUUUAAUUCGAUGCUACACGAAGAACCUUACUGGGUUUGACAUAAUGGUGUAGGGAUCCGAAAGGUGACCGACCUUUCGGGGAGCCAUUUACAGGUGUUGCAUGGCUGUCGUCAGCUCGUGUCGUGAGAUGUUCGGUUAAGUCCGCUAACGAGCGCAACCCUCGCUGUGUGUUAUAUGUGUCACACAGGACUGCUUGGUAUUAAGCCGGAGGAAGGUGGGACGACGUCAAGUCAGCAUGACCUUUAUAUCCAGGGCUACACACACGCUACAAUGGUCAGUACAAUGGGUUGCCAAGCCGCGAGGCGGAGCCAAUCCUAAAAAGCUGGCCUCAGUUCAGAUUGCAGUCUGAAACUCGACUGCAUGAAGUCGGAGUUGCUAGUAAACGCAGGUCAGCUAUACUGCGUUGAAUACGUUCCCGGGCUU
rnacentral:rRNA from 1 species